rnacentral:rRNA from 1 species
AUACUAGAGACCGGCGCACGGGUGCGUAACGCGUAUGCAAUCUACCUUUUGCAGAGGGAUAGCCCAGAGAAAUUUGGAUUAAUACCUCAUAGUAUAACGACUCGGCAUCGAGAUGUUAUUAAAGUCACAACGGCAAAAGAUGAGCAUGCGUCCCAUUAGUUAGUUGGUAAGGUAACGGCUUACCAAGACUACGAUGGGUAGGGGUCCUGAGAGGGAGAUCCCCCACACUGGUACUGAGACACGGACCAGACUCCUACGGGAGGCAGCAGUGAGGAAUAUUGGACAAUGGGCGCAAGCCUGAUCCAGCCAUGCCGCGUGCAGGAUGACGGUCCUAUGGAUUGUAAACUGCUUUUGCACAGGAAGAAACAACGCUACGUGUAGCGUCUUGACGGUACUGUGAGAAUAAGGAUCGGCUAACUCCGUGCCAGCAGCCGCGGUAAUACGGAGGAUCCAAGCGUUAUCCGGAAUCAUUGGGUUUAAAGGGUCCGUAGGCGGUCUUAUAAGUCAGUGGUGAAAUCUCCCCGCUCAACGGGGAAACGGCCAUUGAUACUGUAGGACUUGAAUUAUUAGGAAGUAACUAGAAUAUGUAGUGUAGCGGUGAAAUGCUUAGAGAUUACAUGGAAUACCAAUUGCGAAGGCAGGUUACUACUAAUGGAUUGACGCUGAUGGACGAAAGCGUGGGUAGCGAACAGGAUUAGAUACCCUGGUAGUCCACGCCGUAAACGAUGGAUACUAGCUGUUGGGCGCAAGUUCAGUGGCUAAGCGAAAGUGAUAAGU